AGCGUAUCAAUAAGCGGAGGAAAAGAAACCAACAGGGAUUGCCCUAGUAACGGCGAGUGAAGCGGCAACAGCUCAAAUUUGAAAUCUGGCGUCUUUGGCGUCCGAGUUGUAAUUUGCAGAGGGCGCUUUGGCAUUGGCAGCGGUCCAAGUUCCUUGGAACAGGACGUCACAGAGGGUGAGAAUCCCGUACGUGGUCGCUAGCCUCUACCGUGUAAAGCCCCUUCGACGAGUCGAGUUGUUUGGGAAUGCAGCUCUAAAUGGGAGGUAAAUUUCUUCUAAAGCUAAAUACUGGCCAGAGACCGAUAGCGCACAAGUAGAGUGAUCGAAAGAUGAAAAGCACUUUGGAAAGAGAGUUAAAAAGCACGUGAAAUUGUUGAAAGGGAAGCGCUUGCAGCCAGACUUGCCUGUAGUUGCUCAUCCGGGUUUCUACCCGGUGCACUCUUCUAUAGGCAGGCCAGCAUCAGUUUGGGCGGUUGGAUAAAGGUCUCUGUCACGUACCUCCUCUCGGGGAGGCCUUAUAGGGGAGACGACAUGCAACCAGCCUGGACUGAGGUCCGCGCAUCUGCUAGGAUGCUGGCGUAAUGGCUGUAAGCGGCCCGUCU
rnacentral:rRNA from 1 species